UUGGGGAUAUUAUGUACACAAAUUCUUCAUCAAAAAGCCCAGAGCCUUAUGUUUAAGGUUACUUUAGGGGCUAAACCAUAUCAUAUAUCAGCCUCAGGGGUAAAAAAAAAAAAAAUCUGUUGCAGCAAAGUUGACUUCAUUAAACUUCUGAAAAGUGAAUCCUAUUUUCCCACUGAUGACCUUGAUAAAAUCAGAAUCACGUCUCCUAGAAAAUAUUUCAGUGGAUUAGGUUGCAAACUCAUUUUUCUAUUUAAAGAAUUAUAGAAGUUAGCUAAAUAUCUUUGAGGGGUCUCUGUCAACUAAAAUAGCCUGUGGUUCUGAUUCUGUUUUAGGAUUCAGUCCAGGAGUUACCAUUUCUCAAACUGGGAUGCCAGUGGGUGUGUCCCGCUCAGAUUUUCAUGGGGUCUUAGGAAUGUGUCUCCCCUCUUGAUGUCAAUCUGGUAAAGCGGGGUUUACUCUGAAUCUGUUUCUUUUUUAACUGUAUGGCCACCAAGGACAGAAAUAGAAUUUGGACUGAUGUCACUGAAGGAACAAUUCAACGUAAAAAACUUUCUAACAACCAGAGCUCUCUAAUAAAGAAGUAGCCAGUAAUCAAAGGAACUGAGUUACUGUGGCAGGAGAAAAGAAACAGGGGAGCUCACUGCUUAUUGGGGAUAAGCAUCCAUUUUAGGAUAUUUUUGCUCAUCUUUUAUCUCUUCUAAUUGUAGGCGCCCUGAGGACAGCUUUUUACAUUUUGUUGCUUUCUGCAUCUCUGGACAUAUUGUGGAUGUUUAAUAAUUAUAUUUUUAAUGAUUGAAGGAAUAACACAGAAGGGAAUCCUGCAUUUAUUGAGCAGGGCGUUGGAAUGCAAAACUUUAAGAUACUUUAACUGUGAAAUUCUUGGAAGCAUUCAUCAUCCUGUGGAAAGCUAAAUUCAAUGAGGUCAGGAAAUCCAAAUGCAGGAAGAAAAAUGAAAACUUCAGCUAAAAUCAUUACAGUGGUUAAGGGACAGGAGACAGGAAAAUUCUGGGCAGAAGAGGGCAGGUCCCCAGCGAGGGCUUCACCUUCAAGCCUGGAACUAUGGCCCAAAGUGAGAAUGUACAUCCCUGUUUUCCCGCUUGAAUGUUGCCUUUUCCAAAACCACCCAUGGCCUCCCCUGCCCCCAUCCUGUGCCCAUAAAAACCCCAGGAUCAGCCAGCAGAGAGAGGAGAAGAGGAGAUGCAGCUGGAUGUCAGAAACUACCGUUGGAGAGAAGCAGCUUGACUUCAGAGGGACAGGUUGAUGGCACAGCUUUGGAGAGGGGUUUGGCCAUCCCCAGCCAGACUCCAGAGAAAGAUUACCUUCUCCUAAUCCGUCCCCUUUGCAGCUCCCCUUCCUGCUGAGAGCCACCUUCAUCGGCAAUAAAAUCCCCCACAUUGACCAUCCUUCUAAUUCAUGUAUGCAACAUUCUUCCUGGAUGCCAGAAAAGAACUCAGGUGUGGGUGCAAAAGGCUGUCACACUGACCCUCUACUGAGCUGUUAACACUUAAGCUGUCCAUGGAUGGCAAAGCUAAAAGAGCACCGACUAUAACACUCCUUCUGGGGCUUCAGGGGUCAUGGGCACCCUCAAGACACUGCCACAGGACCGGCACAAAGUUUGUUUCUGCUGGCACCCCAAAACGCCCACCCCAGCUCGUGCACCUCCUCACCUGCAUGCCCCCUUCAGCAAGGGGUUAAGCACUGUGGGUUUGAGUGAGUAGAGCUUGCCCCUGCCGGUGCUGAAGCAGCUGACUAGUUCCAGUGCCUGCACUCCAGUUCCUGCCCACAGAGGGGUCAGGGAAAUUUCCUGCUUCAACAUCACUGUAGUGCUACAAAUGUACUAGGUUUAUUAAUAGUGCCCCACAAAUUAAAAAUAAAGUUAUGGCUGUUUUUCUAUUUUUUUAAAAAAGUCCAGUGGCCCUGAUAUAUGAAUACAC